UAGCCGGCGAUUCCUUGUCGCAGUACAAAACACAGUGUGGAAGUAGUAUGGUUUCAGUCUUGACGAGCACCCAGUAAUUGAAACUGUUGUUUUUCUUGCGCUGGAUAAUAUCAUAUUGCUAGCGGCAAUUCUACUGUUGCAGUGGUUAUCGUAAACCGAAUUUCCGAGUCUUCGAACAAUUUCAAAGUUUGGCAUCAUGGCGGGCCUAUGGAACCCGAUGUCUACCUUGACGAUACUGUUCAUAUUAGCCUAUUGGAGUGCAUAUUGUGAAGGAUCCAAUCCUUGUGGACGCUGUACAUGUGAAGGAAUUGGGGAGAACAAAACUCUUACAAGCUGCAAUGCCGCAGGAACAGAGGUGACAUUGAGCAUUUUUAAUCUGGCAGCGCUCAGAGAGUCUGCUUUUCAGGGUUCUACAGGCUUCACAAAAAU